AGUCUGCAACUCGACUACAUGAAGCUGGAAUCGCUAGUAAUCGCGGAUCAGAAUGCCGCGGUGAAUACGUUCCCGGGUCUUGUACACACCGCCCGUCACACCAUGGGAGUCGGAAAUGCCCGAAGUCUGUGACCGAACCGAAAGGAAGGAGCAGCCGAAGGCAGGUCGGAUGACUGGGGUGAAGUCGUAACAAGGUAGC
rnacentral:rRNA from 1 species